rnacentral:rRNA from 1 species
CAGGGGGAUAACCCGGAGAAAUCCGGCCUAAUACCGCGUAACACCUUUUGGGAGCAUUCCCGGGAGGUUAAAGGAGAGAUCCGGCAUAGGAUGGACAUGCGUCGCAUUAGGUAGACGGCGGGGUAACGGCCCACCGUGCCGACGAUGCGUAGGGGUUCUGAGAGGAAGGCCCCCCACACUGGUACUGAGACACGGACCAGACUCCUACGGGAGGCAGCAGUGAGGAAUAUUGGUCAAUGGCCGAGAGGCUGAACCAGCCAAGUCGCGUGAGGGAAGAAUGUCCUAAGGAUUGUAAACCUCUUUUGUCGGGGAGCAAAAAGGCUCUGCGGAGUCGUAUUGAGAGUACCCGAAGAAAAAGCAUCGGCUAACUCCGUGCCAGCAGCCGCGGUAAUACGGAGGAUGCGAGCGUUAUCCGGAUUUAUUGGGUUUAAAGGGUGCGCAGGCGGCGUGUCAAGCAAGCGGUAAAAUAGCGGGGCUCAACCCCGUCGAGCCGUUUGAACUGGCGCGCUUGAGUUCAGGCGAGGUAGGCGGAAUUCGUGGUGUAGCGGUGAAAUGCAUAGAUAUCACGAAGAACUCCGAUUGCGAAGGCAGCUUACCAGUCUGCGACUGACGCUCAGGCACGAAAGUGUGGGUAUCGAACAGGAUUAGAUACCCUGGUAGUCCACACAGUAAACGAUGAGCACUAGGUGUCCGGGUCGCAUGAGACUUGGGUGCCCGAG